CUGUCAAACAUAAUCAUCUCUCCAAUCAUUGUUCCACAUACUGGGAGUGUCACACAUGACAGGAUAAUCCAGCCACUAGAAUACCUAAUUAUUAAAUAGUUUUAUUGAUAAAGAGAUCUCUUUUUAAUGGCAUGUAAUGAAGCUAAAUGAUCUCAAUGAAUCAAACACUGCCGAAGCGGAAUUACUUACAUAUCCGGUUCAAUUGCCAAGUGUCAGUCACAUGACCAGCGUCUUUGAUUCAUUGAGAUCACUUAGCUUCAUUACAUGCCAGUAAAAGAGAUCUCUUUAUCAAUAAAACAUUGCAUUGUUAAGAUAGGAAGCAAU